rnacentral:rRNA from 1 species
UACGGAGACCCCUAGCGUUGUUCGGAAUCACUGGGCUUAAAGCGCGUGUAGGCGGGUCGGUAAGUGCUUUGUGAAAUCCCCGGUCUCAACCCGGGAAUUGCUUGGCAUACUGCCGGUCUUGAGGCAGGUAGGGGUCGCUGGAACCUUAGGUGGAGCGGUGAAAUGCGUAGAUAUCUAAGGGAACGCCUGUGGCGAAAGCGGGUGACUGGGCCUGUCCUGACGCUGAGACGCGAAAGCGUAGGGAGCAAACGGG